GGAAGGGGUGAAAUCUGUAGAGAAAGAGAAAUUUCACAGCAUGACAGAUAAAAAACUUGACCCAAUUGAACCAAACAGAAGUUGAUUGGAAAGUUGAUCGGAUCAUGAAUGAUAGUAAAAUUCGGAUAUUCAUCAUUCAGAUAACAGAAUGGACAAAACAGAGGAGUCAAGGAAUGCCAUGGCGAGAAGAACGAAACAGAGAACAAAACAAAACCCAUAAAAGAAUAAAGAAAGAAGAAUCAAACCAGAAGGAGUCUUGUGAUGAUUGGGUAUUACAGAGAUGUCUUUAAUGGCGGAAUCGGUAUUGUUUUGGAGCUUAAAGUGUUUAAUAGGUGAAGGUGGAAUCUCAAACUGAUCUGUGGUAGUUUGGGGUGGCGCCGGCGGCUUAACGGCGGAGCAUUCCGAUCUGUUGUAAAGGGAAGCACAUGUACCCAUUUCUCUUAGCUUUAAAGCAAUGGAAGAAGAAAGAAAUAAGACAGAGAUUGAGAGAGAGAGAGAGAAUGAAGGAAAGAAACAAGAAAUGAAAGAGAGACAUGAAAAUGGGAGAUGGGUUGUUGGGAAAUUGGAACAAUUUUUAAAAAAAUAUAUAAAAUUGAUUAGUGUGAUUGGAAUGGAGUUAUUAUGGGGAAGUGGGUACCAAGUAAACAGAGAUAGAAAGUGAUUUUUAGACUGAUAUUUGUGAAAGUGAUUUCACACAAAAGCUGUGGAGGUGUUGUUGCCCAUCUUGGGACAUGAGACUCAAUUAUUUUACAUGUGCUCAAGUUUUGACAUUACAAAUAAAGCUUCUAAAUUCCCAUA